AUUGAACGCUGGCGGCAGGCUUAACACAUGCAAGUCGAGCGAGCGGCGGACGGGUGAGUAAUGUCUGAAAAACUGCCUGAUGGAGGGGGAUAAAUACUGGAACCUGUCGAUAAUACCGCAUACCCUCAGAUGUGCCCAGAUGGGAUUAGCUAGUAGGUGGGGUAAUGGCUCACCUAGGCGACGAUCCCUAGCUGGUCUGAGAGGAUGACCAGCCACACUGGAACUGAGACACGGUCCAGACUCCUACGUGAGGCAGCAGUGGGGAAUAUUGCACAAUGGGCGCAAGCCUGAUGCAGCCAUGCCGCGUGUGUGAAGAAGGCCUUCGGGUUGUAAAGUACUUUCAGCGAGGAGGCGUUACUCGCAGAAGAAGCACCGGCUAACUCCGUGCCAGCAGCCGCGGUAAUUC
rnacentral:rRNA from 1 species